CCCUACUCUACCAGGCUACUCCAGAAGAGUCCGGAAUAGAUUCUCCUGCCAGUGUGUUAAAUUUGCUCGCAGGUUCACCUUUGUGUGUCCACCAGCAUGAACUGCAUAAGGGAAUGCAAAUGAGCCCCUACCUGGGGAAAUCUGAGGCCAGAAGGAAGACAACGUGCAGGAGAGGAAGGUGACGGCAAUUAAAGAAGGGAUCGCCUCACUCCAGAAUGUCCGAGGCCCUUUGGAGAAACUGCUGUUUCCCCCAAACCCUCUACAUGGCCGCUUGCUAGCAGGUCUCCCCAGCGAUCACCUCCAUUGGUUUUGUCCUUUUGGCAAAACUGUUUGUUGAAUCAAUGUCAGCACUGCGAGUGAGGCCAGAAACCCCUCUCACAACCUUGGCCGAAGCAGGAAUUCAUGGGAGCUGCAAAGGGUUACGAAUAAAAUGCAGUCACAAAGGGUCAAACGUGGAUUCUGCCUUCUCUUCUGAGGCCCACCCCUCCUUCACAGAGUUUGCCUGAACCUCGGCCACAUUUCAGUCCGGUAUGAUUAUCAGAACCGCUGAGUCUCAAGUUUGCAGCUUGCUCCGUUCAUUUCUGUCAUCCCAUUGGUGAGAAGAAGUGUCUGCAGUCAUCCUUCAUAUUGGGAGGGAUGAGCUGAAGGAGGCAGGGAGAUGUCUCCUAAGGAGGAGUCUUUCCCAGCUAUCAUGGCUUCCAAACCUGCUUAUCUGGUUCCUCUGGCAACACGUUCUACAGAAGCUGUAAUGUAUAAAUAUGGGGACUCCCCCUUUCUCUCUCACAAAUAAAACAAUUUCUGGAAGGAAAACA
ensembl:lncRNA